rnacentral:rRNA from 1 species
AAUCAACGCUGGCGGCGUGCCUCAGACAUGCAAGUCGAACGAUUAAAGCUCUCUUCGGAGAGUGUAUAGAGUGGCGCACGGGGUGAGUAACACGUAAGUAAUCUACCUUUGAGUGGGGAAUAACAUCGGGAAACCGAUGCUAAUACCGCAUAAUGCAGCGGCAUCGCAAGAUGACAGUUGUUAAAGAUUUAUCGCUUGAAGAGGAGCUUGCGGCAGAUUAGCUAGUUGGUAAGGUAAUGGCUUACCAAGGCUACGAUCUGUAACCGGUCUAAGAGGACGGUCGGUCACACUGACACUGAAUAACGGGUCAGACUCCGUACGGGAGGCAGCAGUCGGGUAAUUUUGGGCAAUGGGCGAAAGCCU